CGUGCUGCAGGGCUCUGAUUUACCCACAGCCGGGGCAGGCGACACACUGCUGCCUCGCAAGAUCCCAUCGGUUCCCUGCGGCUCCGCAGUUUGUGGACUCUGGCAGCAGAGUGCCAGCGCGGAAGGGAGAUGCCAGGAGCACGGGCAUACGCUGCGGCUCUGGCACAGCUCGUGCCCAGUGGGUCGCUCCCGGGAAGCGCAGGCAUCCUCACCCAGCGCGCCUUCCCAGGGCUCCCGUGCUGGCAGAGCCACAGUGCUAAUUGGCUUCGUUACGGCACAGAAUUACUGCAGUUCGUAGCGGACACACCAGGAGGGAUGCGGGUGUCAUUUCGAAUAAUCACUGUCUUGUGGCAAAGGGACCGCACGCUCCGGCAACAGGAUCACUGCAUCGAAGGGCCGUGAUUCACCCACAGCCCAAACCCACGCUGGCAAACACACAAGGCACCGCAAACGGGAACGCAGCCGCGCUCCUGGCCGGUGGGUCUGUAAUCGCCGUCACAGACGACAGCGAAGGCCUCUGGCCACGCAGAGAGGGAAACCGAGAGCGCGGCACCGGGUCGGACCACGCAGCAUCCCUGCGGAGCUGAGCCGCAGGCACUCGGCAUCGCGGUCCUCGCCGGCCCCGUGCCGCCCCGCACCAGCAGUGCGCUAACUGGCCUCCCCUUUGCCAGCCAGCGCUUCAAACCUCGCUGCGUCCUACUUGGGACUCAGAAAGCACUGCGGCCAAACCCUGAAAUCAUCUUUAUCGCUGCCGUGGAUCCCCCAAGCUGUCUGAGAGGGAAAGUACCUGCAGGUCAUUAACAAGGGACUAACGGCCUCUUGCUUUUCCCACCCUUUCCCCUUUGAUCACAGACGUGGUCCGGCUUUUCAGCAGCCUACGUACUUCUAAGGAAAACACCAAAUUAAAGUCUCGAGAGCUCGCCCCGAUGGGAAAUUGCUGCCGUUUUCACCAGAGAAAAUGGCUCGGUGUUUCCCCGGGGCGGUUUCCUCUUCUGCGAUGCUCCGUUUCCUGGGAUAUCUUAAACUGUGGUAUUAAAAAACCAUGGAUAAUGAUUACUGUUCACCAGCAUAAUAGUCUCAAGAAUCAGCAUCCCUACUUUUUGCAAGAAACAUAUCCCCAGGCAGUUUCCUUUGCAUAUAAGCGUACAAAAAAAGUUCAAGUGAGAAAAAAUCGUAUCAGCAAAGCACAUUUGUAUAGAUGAAUUAUUUUGAAAAUUUCUGAGCACCCAAACUAACUGCAGCAGAUUUGAAUUAUAGAAUUAUAAGCAACACGUUCAUUUUGAUCCUCUGGGCUAAAAAGUUAUAAUUAGCACAUGCACCAUAAAACUGGCUUUUAAUUAAAUAAGCCUUGGAACGGAGGAAGUUUUGCGAGGUCCCUCCCUCGCUUACGUAAGGCAGGCGGCCCAAACGGCCACCGCUGGGGAUGCUGCGACGGCUCCCGAGCCCGGGGAGCGUUAAGCAGAAUUUUAAAGAAAGGAAAGAGAGAAAUGGGAAAUCAGGCAAGCGGGGAGCCCGCAGCCAGCAGCUGGAUCUCGUACGUUAGUGACCCGAAGAGCCAUCGCAGCCAAAUGAGCUGGAACGAUGGUUUGUACUGGGGCGACAAACGGCACGAGCAAAACCAUCGCGGGAACGCGAAGACCCGACUCAUCACGCCCCAGACCCAGAGAUGGAAAGCUGGAAAAGCUCUGGCUACAGGGAAGGCACGAAGCACCACAGAUCACAGGAAUGCAUUUGUCUCUGCGAAAGCGCCCCGGGAGGUGAUGGUCACCCCGCAACCACCGCCUUAUUCAAAGGAAAAAGAGCUUUCCGUCCUGACAAAAACACCGAGGCUGGUGAUGCAGUGGGUGUCCAUCAGUGCUGGAGCCAAGCCUGGGAGUCACCCGCAGCGGUGAGACCAGCGUGGGGUGGGAAGCAUCGCCUCUGGAGCAAACCAACCGCUGUCUCCCAAAACGGCCCGAGGGUCCAAGAGGAAGGGCCGAAGCGGGGGGGAAGGGAACGGUGGUGGUCCGCCAAAGCCCCCGCACGAGCUGGGCUCUGCUGGCUGGGUCUGGGCUUUUCCCGGCUGGGCUCCAAGGGGGAAGAUGGGAGCGGGGCUCUGGACCUGCCCCUGCGGAUGCAAAGCCCACGCAGGGGGAGAGCGGGUGGUACCCGUGGGGGCUGUUCAAAUUGUGACUGUGGACAAGCCAAACCAAAACAAAUAAAUCACGCUAACCUAUUUCCAUGCCAUUGUCCCUUCUCCGGGGGGAACAAUCACUGCUGAGGAUCUUUGCAAAAAUUAGUUCCUGUAAGAUCUGAGGAAUCUUUCUGCUUCUGCACUGAGCACUGGGAGGGAGCCUAUAAAUCCACUUAGUCACACUCGCUGGAUUACAUUGGACCUUGUACUUCUGCUUUUAUUAACAAGAUUGUUUACUAUAUAAGAAGCUUUAUAUAACUAUGAAUCACGGGUGAUUUGUACGACUGCACAGAUGGGAGUUGCCAACCAUCCGUUUUCUCUGUGCUCGCGUGAACCUCCCGCUCCCAGCCCAUACCUAAAAAAUAAAUGAAACCCUUGCUGUGGUAAUUAAA